AUGGUUUGGCUUCUGGACGAUGUCUACGACGUGCAACACCGGGCCUACAUGAUGCGCGAGAAGGAUAAGCUUGAACCUCUGAAGAUUCGGUAUCACGGGGUCUCUGGUCCUGCCAUGCCUUACGAUGAGCGGUACACACCAUACAUCAAGCAGGAAGGACUACUCCCGUGGAUUCUGUUGGUCAGCCGGUCCACGCCGAAUCUGAACGCUCCACUGGUGUCCACUCUUGUUGAUCGGUGGAGGCUAGAGACCCAUAGUUUCCAUCUUCGGACCGGGGAGAUGACCGUGACGCUCGAGGAUGUCUCGUUGAUCACCGGUCUUGCUAUCGACGGGAGGCCUCUCUGUAUGAGCACUGAUUCUGAUGGGUGGCGCGAGCAGAUGAUUGCUCUUAUCGGUAUGGCUCCUACCGAGGCUGAGGAUGAUGUAGAGGAGGGAGAAGAGAAGAAGAAGAGGGAAAGGAAAGCAGCCGGAGCUGCUUUCACAUGGACUCAAAAUAACUUUGUGACGUGCCCUCCGGAUGCCACUGAUGAUGUGAUCCAGACACAUGCUCGUGUGUAUAUGUGGUACAUUGUGUCGAGGACUUUGUUUCCUGACUCCACUGGCAAGAACGCUCCAUGGAUGUGGCUGAAGGCGUUGACCGUCUUCGAUAGCAAAUGGAGCUGGGGUUCAGCGACUCUUGCCUACUUGUACCGACAGCUGGACGACGCGUGUUGCAGGAUCACACCUAGUGCAGGCAUUGGUGGUAAUCUGCUUCUACUUUCUGUAUGGAGCUGGGAGCGUCUGCCUAUUGGACGCCCGAAGAGCGUCAGGUUUGAUCCUUGGUAUGCAGAUGAACAUGACGAAUUACGGCGCCCCACGUGGGCUUACAAGUGGGAUGUCGUUUCCGAGAUGACGAACGAUGUCAAUCUCAUGUACCAAAAGUACAUUGCCGAGUUGGACACGAUUACGCCUGAGCAGGUGGAAUGGCAGCCAUAUGGCGCGGGUGAGAGCUUGGGGUACACCGCGGAGUUCCGCCUCAACCCGAUGUGCUUGCGAUAUAAGGAUCUCUGGCUUAUGCGGUGCCCACUGAUAUGCAACUGGGCGGUUGAGUUUCAUUUGCCGCAUCGCGUGUAUCGUCAGUUUGGUCUUUUCUAG
rnacentral:rRNA from 1 species